AUUGAACGCUGGCGGCAGGCUUAACACAUGCAAGUCGAGCGAGUGGCGGACGGGUGAGUAAUGCAUGGGGAUCUAGCUUAUGGAGGGGGAUAACUACGGGAAACUGUAGCUAAUACCGCGUACCAUAGGAUGAACCCAAAUGGGAUUAGGUAGUUGGUGAGGUAACGGCUCACCAAGCCGACGAUCUCUAGCUGGUCUGAGAGGAUGAGCAGCCACACUGGGACGGAGACACGGCCCAGACUCCUACGGGAGGCAGCAGGGGGGAAUAUUGCACAAUGGGGGCAAGCUGAUGCAGCCAUGCCGCGUGUAUGAAGAAGGCCUUCGGGUUGUAAAGUUCUUUCAGUAGCGAGGCGUUAACGACAGAAGAAGCACCGGCUAACUCCGUGCCAGCAGCCGCGGUAAUUC
rnacentral:rRNA from 1 species